rnacentral:rRNA from 1 species
AACGAACGCUGGCGGCAUGCCUAACACAUGCAAGUCGAACGAGACCUUCGGGUCUAGUGGCGCACGGGUGCGUAACGCGUGGGAACCUGCCCUUAGGUUCAGAAUAACUCCCCGAAAGGGGUGCUAAUACCGGAUAAUGUCUUCGGACCAAAGAUUUAUCGCCUUUGGAUGGGCCCGCGUUGGAUUAGCUAGUUGGUAGGGUAAAAGCCUACCAAGGCGACGAUCCAUAGCUGGUCUGAGAGGAUGAUCAGCCACACUGGGACUGCGACACGGCCCAGACUCCGACGGGAGGCAGCAGUGGGGAAUAUUGGACAAGGGGCGAAAGCCUGAUCCAGCAACGCCGCGUGAGUGAGGAAGGCCUUAGGGUUGUAAAGCUCUUUUACCCGGGAUGAUAAUGACAGUACCGGGAGAAUAAGCACCGGCUAACUCCGUG